rnacentral:rRNA from 1 species
GACGAACGCUGGCGGCGUGCUUAACACAUGCAAGUCGAACGAAAGCGUAGAGAGAUCUUGCUUUUUCCGCAAUCUAGUGGCAAACGGGUGAGUAACGCGUAAACAACCUGCCCUACGGAUGUGUACAACAGCUGGAGACGGCUGCUAAUAACGAAUUCGUUCCGCAAGUGGCAUGAUUGUCGGAAGAAAGGUUGGCGUCUAUUUUUGAGCUAUCUCCGCCGGAUGGGUUUGUGUGUGAUUAGCUAGGUGGAGGGGUAACGGCUCACCAAGGGGACGAUCAGGAGCCGGACUGAGAGGAUGAACGGCCACAUUGGAACUGAGACACGGUCCAGACUCCUACGGGAGGCAGCAGUGGGGAAUCUUCCGCAAUGGGCGAAAGACUGACGGAGCAACGCCGCGUGAGUGAAGAAGGACUUCGGGUUGUAAAGCUCUGUUAUACGGGACGAAUAAUCUUGUGGUUAAUACCCAUGAGAAGUGACGGUACCGUAAGAGAAAGCCACGGCUAACUACGUG